UUAUUCUGUGUUUCUCAUAUG
rnacentral:piRNA from 1 species